UAAAUUUUGUGUAAACUAAUUGGAUACAUCAUCCAAACCCCUAAGAGGUGUUCUAGGUUCAAUAUAGUUUACGCAUUAUUAAAAUU
rnacentral:sRNA from 1 species